rnacentral:rRNA from 1 species
UACCCGUUGUUUUUGUUUGAGCGAUGGAGGGACGCAGUAGGCUAAGAAAUGCAGACGAUUGGAAAUGUCUGUCCAAGCAAUAAGUCCGAGUGAGAGUCAAAUGCUUUCAUUCAUUAAGGACAAGCUGUGAUGGGGAGGGAAAUUUAAGUACCGAAGUUUCUGGUGUCACACUGCCGAGAAAAGCUUCUAGUUAGAAAACAACGGCCCGUACCGUAAACCGACACAGGUAGUCGAGGAGAGUAUCCUAAGGUGUGCGAGAGAACUCUCGUUAAGGAACUCGGCAAAAUGACCCCGUAACUUCGGGAGAAGGGGUGCUGUUCGCAAGAACAGCCGCAGUGAAUAGGCCCAAGCGACUGUUUAUCAAAAACACAGGUCUCUGCAAAAUCGAAAGAUGAAGUAUAGGGGCUGACGCCUGCCCGGUGCUGGAAGGUUAAGAGGAGUGCUUAGCGCAAGCGAAGGUACGAAUUGAAGCCCCAGUAAACGGCGGCCGUAACAAUAACGGUCCUAAGGUAGCGAAAAUCCUUGUCGGGUAAGUUCCGACCCGCACGAAAGGCGUAACGAUUUGGGCACUGUCUCAACGAGAGACUCGGUGAAAUUUUAGUACCUGUGAAGAUGCAGGUUACCCGCGACAGGACGGAAAGACCCCAUGGAGCUUUACUGUAAUUUGAUAUUGAGUGUCUGUACCGCAUGUACAGGAUAGGUAGGAGCCGUAGAGAUCGGGACGCUAGUUUCGAUGGAGGCAAUGGUGGGAUACUACCCUUGCGUUAUGGCCACUCUAACCCGCAUCACUAAUCGUGAUGGGAGACAGUGUCAGAUGGGCAGUUUGACUGGGGCGGUCGCCUCCUAAAAGGUAACGGAGGCGCCCAAAGGUUCCCUCAGAAUGGUUGGAAAUCAUUCGUAGAGUGCAAAGGCAAAAGGGAGCUUGACUGCGAGAGCUACAACUCGAGCAGGGACGAAAGUCGGGCUUAGUGAUCCGGUGGUUCCGCAUGGAAGGGCCAUCGCUCAACGCAUAAAAGCUACCCUGGGGAUAACAGGCUUAUCUCCCCCAAGAGUCCACAUCGACGGGGAGGUUUGGCACCUCGAUGUCGGCUCGUCGCAUCCUGGGGCUGUAGUCGGUCCCAAGGGUUGGGCUGUUCGCCCAUUAAAGCGGCACGCGAGCUGGGUUCAGAACGUCGUGAGACAGUUCGGUCCCUAUCCGUCGCGGGCGUUGGAAAUUUGAGAGGAGCUGUCCUUAGUACGAGAGGACCGGGAUGGACUUACCGCUGGUGUACCAGUUGUCUCGCCAGAGGCAUCGCUGGGUAGCUAUGUAGGGAAGGGAUAAACGCUGAAAGCAUCUAAGUGUGAAGCCCACCUCAAGAUGAGAUUUCCCAUUUCUUUAAGAAAGUAAGAUCCCUGAGAGAUGAUCAGGUAGAUAGGUCAGGAGUGGGAGUGCAGCGAUGUACGGAGCGGACUGAUACUAAUCGA